rnacentral:rRNA from 1 species
AUUGAACGCUGGCUGCAGGCCUAACACAUGCAAGUCGAACGAGUGGCGGACGGGUGAGUAAUGUCUGGGAAACUGCCUGAUGGAGGGGGAUAACUACUGGAAACGGUAGCUAAUACCGCAUACCAUCAGAUGUGCCCCGAUGGGCUUAGCUUGUUGGUGGGGUAACGGCUCACCAACUCGACGAUCCCUAGCUGGUCUGAGAGGAUGACCAGCCACACUGGAACUAGGACACGGUCCAAACUCCUACGGAGGGCGGAAGUGGGGAGUAUUGCACAAUGGGCGCAAGCCUGCUGCAUCCAUACCGCGUGUAUGAAGAAGGCCUUCAGGUUGUAAAGUACUUUCAGCGGGGAGGCGUUACCCGCAGAAGAAGCACCGGCUGACUCCGUGCCAGCAGCCGCGGUAAUAA